rnacentral:misc_RNA from 1 species
GAAAUGCGAUAAGUAAUGUGAAUUGCAGAAUUCCGUGAAUCAUCGAGUCUUUGAACGCACAUUGCGCCCUCUGGCAUUCCGGGGGGCAUGCCUGUCCGAGCGUCAUUACGCACCCUCAAGCCCGGCUUGUGUGAUGGGCCCCGGCGUCUCGUUCGCGAGACGGGCCCGAAAGGCAGCGGCGGCGUCGACCCGAUGAGCCCGAGCGUAUGGGGACUUCUGUCACACGUUCGCGGUGCGGACCGGCGCCUGCUUUGACUUUUCUGAUUAUCCAGGUUGACCUCGGAUCAGGUAGGGAUACCCGCUGAACUUAAGC